AUCACAAUGACUACUCUCUGCUCAGCAGUAAGCCAUGGCUGUGCCCAGGAGACGGGAGUUCAGCAGGGGGCAGGAUGCAUGCCAUCUCCAUCCCAAGGGACCUACUUGCCAUUUCUCCAGUAAGGUUGAAGACACCCCGGUCACAUCUAGGCCUCCAUACACGCGGUUCCCUGAUUGAGAAAAUCAACUCCCUCUUUGGAGAAAACCCACUGCUGAUAGGACUCUAAUAACAGACUACCAUCGCCACUACCUUAGACCCCCACUGACGUGCGUGCACUCACUGAACCACGCCCAGGGGUCUCUCCUGGGGUGGGUGAGGGCUCCCUGAGGAAGGCCGCAUUUUAGAUACACUUGUUCAUCAGAGAUCAACAGGAACUCAAACGGAUUUAAUUUUCUCUCACCUCCAGAAAGGUCCAUCUUAUUGCUCUGUACAUUUUCUUCUGGUGAGUCUCUCUGAAAUAAGAAAAAGUAACACAUUAGCAGACCUUAAUUCGUUAAUGAAAACAAAUAAAAGUGAAUUUUUAGUGUAUUUCA